rnacentral:lncRNA from 1 species
CUGGAGGAGGAAAGGUCCCUAAGUGUGCUGCUGCCUUCCUGCCCCAGAAUCCUUCAUCUGGCCUGGAGUCAGGAUUUGCCAGUGACCAGUGAAAGCUCAGGAAAAGGAGCACUGAUGUAAAAGAUACUUGCUUAACCAAAGCACUGAGACAGCACAUCUGCAGGAAAACACCAUAUGAAGCUUGAGGAGACAGAAAGUCAAAGACAAGCCACGCAGUGAUCCUAGCAGGAGAAUAGCUGUCGAUGGAAACUGAGAAAUGCGUUCUAGGGAGAGACAACCCUGCAGCCCUGCUGGGUGGCGUGGCCACAGUGAAGAUGGACACAUGAAGGCAGGAGGCGCUGCAUCCCAGCCCGGUCCUGGAACAUCAGUCUCUUUGCUGUCCUGUCAUCAUUAUGGUGGAAGCCAGGAAAUGUGUCCCAUCAGCUAGAAUUUGCCCUGCCCUCUCCAGCUUCUCCUGAGCCAUCCCUUUAGCUUAGCUGAUAUUCUGUCUUACGGCACAGCCAGCAGAUCCAAGCAUACAAUUAAUUUAAUGUCACAUGUACAACCACGUCCACCCCUGUAGUGACACACGGCGCCUGCCUAUCUUUGCCAAGGGACUUAUACAACACCAAACAACCUGAUUGAUCUCAGGCAUCACACAGGACAUGAGGAGGGGCCUCAGUGGACAAGAAGAUAAGAUGGAAGGGUCUGGAAGUGUGGGAAGGGAGAGGAGUCCAGGAAAAAAACAGCUGAGUUCAUUUUCAUGCCCAUAAUAACAAGAAAUUCUUUCCAGCCUGGGGGACUGUAAAAUAGGCCAAGACCAAUGUGACCCGGGCUGCAGUGUAAAUUUAUUCUACGCCUUGUACAUUUUAACUUAAACCUGUGUUUGUCCAAUUUAUUAUAACACCAGCUCAGGAGAUGUGCUGGGAUGUAUCUAAGAGAAGAACGGUGCAGAAUAUUGGAGUACACGUUAUUCUCCUAGCCACAAUUUUCUCAAACAUGGUAUUUUAAAAAUAUUUAUUAAUGUAUGUAGGGUUUAUCUGGGUUGUCUAGGAAGGAAGAAACCUCAUUAUUCUCCUCACUUUGUAUCUGGUACCCAGCAUGUACCAGCAACAACCACUAGCAAUGCCAUUAAAGCUAACAUUUAUUGUGUGCAAAGUAUGAGACAGGCACCACUUUAAGUACUAGACUAACUGGUUCCAGGGGCUAUAAUCUUAACCCCUAUACUAUAUUGACCCCCCCCCAACUUGUAGCUAUCACAUAGUAGUUACUUCAAGGAACACAUGCCAAGGGCUUUGGGGGUAGUUUGCUUCUUCCGUUACUUCCUUGUUACUUAUGCACAGUUUACAAUGGUGAAGAAAAGUCACAGAAGGAAAAAACAUAGGAAAAAAAAAUACAAAAAAUACCAGGAGCUUCAUUUUCCCUGUCCUUGGUUCAUUUCCUCAAAUGGUCUAUGGUCCUAAAUGGAUGACCCCCCAAAGCAUUACUUAGUCUUUGGCCAACAAAGAGCUGUUAGGCUUUUUUCUUGUUUGAACAGCUUUCUAGACUCUUAAAGACAGAUAAUAAAGAAGAAAUCAUUUGAUGCCUCUAUUUAGCCAUUGGAAACAUUUGGUCACAGCACUCCCAGCCUGCAGACACAUUCCGAAGGUUUAUCAGAGCAUGAGUCUCCUUGGAGAGGUGAACUCACUUCCUCUCACUAGCUGACAGCAGCUUUUAGCUGCAUUUCAUAAUUCUGACCUUUGAACACAAAUUGGAACAGAUAAUGGACAGAAAACACUCUAUUAAAAAUAUAGAGCAGGAAAACAGUGCCGUCUAAUGACUGUCUCAUUUUUGUUUCUAUAACUGAGAUUCAUCGUGGAAUCUGUAGACAUUGGAAAUGAUCUUGCCCAAUUUGCUCAGUUUUUAGAUGGAGAAACAGAGAGAUUAGGAAACUGAAAUAAAGCCACAGAGCUUUGCUUUUGACAGGGCUCUAACUAAGGUCUUCUGAUAUCCGAAUAGGAAUCUUUUCCAAUGUAGUGGUUCCUAGGGCAAGGGAGCCUACAUUAUCUGAAUUGUAUAAAAUACUAGGGAUUACAAGGAGACGGUCUGAGGAAAGGGCUCAGGACCUGAUACAUGGAAAGUGGAUAGAGUGAAGGAAAGUGCAAGCAGGCAGCUAGAACAUUAUGCUUGAAGAGGGGAGGCUCUUACAGUCAUGUUUAGGGACCAUUUUGAAGGCCAGGUAGGAGUUAGUCUGUGUAAAGUCUCAAAUACCAAAAUUAAAGGUAAUGCUGUAUUGUUGAUAAUUCUAGUAUUAUUCAUUCAAUUGUGUUCACAAAUUAUGCCUCCAUGUUUAGACGAUUGAUUCAAACUUUGCCUUAAAAAAAUCACCAUGGAGACCGUAACUGACUAACAAUUCUAUCUCCACCAGGAAGGCUCUCACAGACAGUCAAGCCCAGAAUGUUUUUCUGAGCUCUUAAAUACUGGCUAAGAAAAUCUUCCCAUCAGAAAGAAAAUCAGUCUGGAUUCAUGUAACUAGACUUAAUAGGAUGAAAUUUCUCCAAAAGGUUAAUUUCUGCCUUCAGCAAAACCUUCCUAAUGGGCCAUUAUAUGGUAAACAGUGGAGCAGGAGAAUGGGGAGUAUGCCAUAGUUGAUGUCAUUGCAAAGCAAUUCUGGAGGAAAAUACAACCCUCAGGUCCAGCCCAUGAAGACCAAUCCUGCCCUUGUCUCAUGGGGUUGACUACAUGUGACCUAAUUGAUUGUUUUCCUCUAAAGACUGGUGAUUUGAUUUAUUCCCAGCAAUUCUCCUUCCUAACAAUUGCCUGGCCUCCACUCCCAGGCAAAUCUAUGCAACCAGAAGGGAAGGGAAGAGUUCCCAUGCACCCUUUUCACAGCAGCUCAGAUCAGUUCCCUGUCCAACGGCAAUCCAUUUUAGAACCCGAAAGAUCUGGUCUGUCGGCCUUAAUCAAGUGACCCAAAGUAUGGCUGAAUGUCUCCUCCCCACAUUCAGAAGUGUUGAAGGAUCCUAAAGUUAAUUAUCAGGUGGAUUCUUGUUGUAAUGCCACCUUUAGAAAAUCACUCAGUUAGGACGCCUGGGUGGUUCAGUGGUUGAGCAUCUGCCUUGGCUCAGGGUCUGAUCCCAGGGCCUGGGAUCAGAUACUGCAUCAGGCUCCUUGUGGGGAGCCUGCUUCUCCCUCUGCCUGUAUCUCUGCCUCUCUCUCUCUUUCUUUUUCAUGAAUAAAUAAAUAAAA